UACGGGGGGAGCAAGCGUUGUUCGGAUUUACUGGGCGUAAAGGGCGCGUAGGCGGCCACCGCAAGUCAGUUGUGAAAGCUCUGGGCUUAACCCAGAAAGGUCAACUGAUACUGCGGGGCUAGAGUGCAGAAGGGGCAACUGGAAUUCUCGGUGUAGCGGUGAAAUGCAUAGAUAUCGAGAGGAACACCUGCGGCGAAGGCGGGUUGCUGGGCUGACACUGACGCUGAAGUGCGAAAGCUAGGGGAGCGAACGGG
rnacentral:rRNA from 1 species